rnacentral:rRNA from 1 species
UCCCAGACUCCUACGGGAGGCAGCAGUGGGGAAUAUUGCACAAUGGGGGAAACCCUGAUGCAGCGACGCCGCGUGAGCGAUGAAGUAUUUCGGUAUGUAAAGCUCUAUCAGUAGGGAAGAAAAUGACGGUACCUGACUAAGAAGCCCCGGCUAACUACGUGCCAGCAGCCGCGGUAAUACGUAGGGGGCAAGCGUUAUCCGGAUUUACUGGGUGUAAAGGGAGCGUAGACGGCGGUGCAAGCCAGAUGUGAAAGCCCGGGGCUCAACCCCGGGACUGCAUUUGGAACUGUGCUGCUAGAGUGUCGGAGAGGCAGGCGGAAUUCCUGGUGUAGCGGUGAAAUGCGUAGAUAUCAGGAGGAACACCGGUGGCGAAGGCGGCCUGCUGGACUGCAACUGACGUUGAGGCCCGAAAGCGUGGGGAGCAAACAGGAUUAGAUACCCGUGUA